CUGACCGUGGAUCAGUGGGUGAAACGCGGUGAAAGGACCCAAACAUGGCCGGUUCUCUCCAGUCAGGAGAGAUUGAACAGGCCGUUAUGGCAGGUGUGAGGGGUGCACUCCAAGGUGCAGUUGCACCGGUGCCAUCCACACCAUUAAUGGUCUCCACUCCAGUGGCUCUGCCGCCACUGUCACAUCACUGAGAUCAGUUCCUUUGCCAUCUAUCCCUCAACGUAAUGGGGCUCGAUCAGGAUACUUGGACCGAAGGCAUGUCAAAACAUGCACAAAUGAAGUUGUAUGUUUGUCUUUUUCACCAGAGGUCUUCAUUAUACCCAGAGGAGAAACUCAGACCAACUGAGAGAUGAAAUAAUGGCUGUCUUUAGAAUAGCAUUUGCAUUAUCAGAGCACCAGUCCUUCCAAUUUGAAUUUCCCCUGGGGUGGAAAAAAGUUGCCUCUGUCUGUUCCAGCACUUUUCUGUACAUCAUGGCAGGAAUGGAAGAUGCAGCACAGGUGACCAUGUUAUUGUAUAACUUAGUGUGGUAGAUUCCAACUCAGACAAGAGUUUCAGUCCAAAUGGGUUGUUUCCUGUUCAUUUAACUAAGGGGGAAAAAAUCAUAAUCAUACACAACCAAGAAUGCCUGUUUCCAUACGGCCCAAGGGCAGCGACUCCUGAACCCACAAUCCACACAACCUGGUGAUCCGGUGAGGAGCACAACUGUACCUGAUCACUGAAUCAACCACAGUCCCAACCCCCUUGUAUUACUGUAGCUAGCUUGUACACAAUCCUUUGGAGUUGGUACCUCACUAAUCUUGGUGUGCGGUCCUGCCUUGUACCUGUUCAAGGUUAUAUUGAGUAAUAAUGAGCAAUAAAUACAUUAUUGUAAUCUUAAAGAUCAUCCAUUUGAAGUCCUCUUUACAAUGUCAACAUAUACCUGUGGUACACAUGAUGCAUCAUGUUGACCUCC